CUAAAUAUGGAAAGUAGUCUUCAAAAUUCCAAGGGUGUCUUCUCCCUCUCAUCCUUUGAUUCUUGAGAUUUCAACUUUGCCGAUUAGUAGAUUCUCUUAUUUUUGCUCUGAUUCAGCAAAAGAGUGCAGUACAACAAUAUCAACCUCAAAGUUUGGCUCUAGGUUCUUAAAUGGAGCAACAACUAUUCAGAUUGAAGGUGAAAUUUGGAGGAUAUUUCAAGAAGAUUAAAAAUUCUACAGGAAUGAAGUACUACUUUGGGAGAUAAAAGAGUUGGUUAGUUGAUGUUGACUGUUAUUGAUAUAAGGACCUAUAUGAUGAUAUAGUGCAUACCUUUAAUUUAAAGCUUGAAGAGACCAUAAAGAUUUGGUCUGUGAUUAGACAUUUAAUGCCUAAGUCUUACAUAAUAUUAGACACAGAUCAGAAAUUGAUGAGUUUGUUUGAGGAGUACAAGGAUUUGAAAAAAGUGCUUCUUAUUUGUUACAAAAGAGGCCAAUAUUAUAUAACUUUCUCAAUCAAUACUAGACAACCAAGAUCAAAUUCAAACAUGAAGAAGUACUGCAACUGCAAUAGAAGAGAUUCGAGUGGAUGAAGUAAGAGAGAACCAAAGGCACAAUGAUAGUGAGCAUCUAGCUACAAUAGGCAUUUAUAUCUUAGCUGCUGCUAUUGAAUAUAAUGACUUUGUUGGGGUAAAUGAUGAAACUUUAUUUCAAGACGAGCAGAAAACAGAUAUUGAAAUUUAUGGUUCUGAGAGUAGCUAUUAUAGUAUUUAUAAUAGUGAUUCUGAUGAUGAUGAUGAAAAUAUCAUAGACUAUGGGGGAGAAACAUAUGAGAUGGAUAUUGAGAAUCCUACCAUGGCCGUAGGGGCAAAAUAUACAAGUUGAGAAUAGUUCAAAGUUGCACUGAGUCAGUAUGCUAUAUUGAAUGAAUUUGCCAUAAUAAUUCUCAAAAGUGAGCCCGGUAGAAUGAUAGUGAGUUGCAAAGAUGAAUCUUGUAAUUGGAGGCUUCAUGCUUCAUUAUUAUGCGAUGGUCAUACAUUUCAGGUAUUAUGGUUGAAAUAUGUUACCUUUUCAUUACAAUGCUUAUGAAAAAAUAUUGCAUGUAUUAAUAUAUUGUUCUGUUUGUAUGUGUAGAUUAAAAAAUUAAAGGAACCUCAUACGUUCUCAUCUAUAAACAAAUGUGGCAACAAGAUGGCUACACAAUUUUGGAUAUAUGAUAGGAUUAUUGGUUGACUACAAAAAGAGGGUGACCUGUCGCCUAUUGAGCUAGGAAGGAGAUUGUUGCAAUUCCAUCAUCUCGAGCUUCCAUACCACAAAGUUUGCCGAGGAAAAGAGCUUGCCAUGUCCAUGAUUCAUGGUAAUUGGGCAGAUUCUUUUGAGAGAAUGGAGGAUUUCAAGGAGGAGCUUUUGAGAAAAAAACUAGGUAGUGUAGUAAAGCUAAAGCUAGAUGUGGUUGGUGAUAAGCCUUACUUCCAUCGCUUCUUUAUUUGUCUGUGUGCUUGCAGUGCAGGCUUUUUAUCUGGUUGUAGGCCUUUCAUAGGCCUAGAUGGUUGCCACUUAAAGAAAAAGUUCGGGGGUGUAAUGAUGGCUGCUACAUCACUUGAUGGAAAUAAUGGUUUGUUUUUAGCUGCUUUUGGUGUUGCAGAAUCUAAAAAUAGUGAUAACUGGACUUGGUUUUUGGAGGCACUUAAAGAAUCAAUUCAAACUCCAAAAGGUCUGUACUUGUAUCAGAUCGACAAAAGGGAUUGGAAGAAGCAGUACAACAUAUAUACCCCCAAGCAGAAUAUAGAAAAUGCAUGAGACACUCCUGACUUAAAAUUAAGCUAUGGGGAGCUGCAAAGGCAUACAGAAAAGUCCAACAUGACGAUAUCAUCAAUCAAAUUAAGGAGGCUAACUUGGAGGCAUUCAAGUAUCUUAAUGCUGAAAAUAUUGGUUUAUAUAGUAGAUCUCAAUUUGGCAUCACAGUUAAGUGCUUCUAUAUAACAAACAACCUUUCGGAGUCAUUCAAUGUUUGGAUUUCUGAGGCUAGACAUAGGCCAAUUCUUGAUUUAUUAGAUGUUGUAAGACAAAAAAUUAUGGUGAAAAGAAUGGCUGCCCACUGGAAAGAAAAUUUAGUUCCUGUGGUAAUGAAGUAUGCAAGAGACAUCAGCCUUAAGCUAAGUGAUUAUAAUGUUUAUAGAAUCAGUGAUUACAGAACAUAAGUAAUUGAGACUAAUGAAGGCAUGAAGUAAUUCUAAAUAAACAAAGGUGUUCUUGUCGUCUGUGGGAGGUGUCAGGCAUUCCUUGUGUGCAUGCUACAGCUUUUAUUUGUAGAUGAGAUGCGCAAAUUUGGAAAAUUAUGUCUCAGAGUACUUCACCGUUGCCAAGUAUAAGACUGCCUAUGCAUUAGAAAUUGGACCAUUACCUGACAAGGCCCAAUGGAUAAAAGUUGAUAUUGGAUACAAGAUAUUGCCUCCUAUGCUCAGUCUAAGACCUCUAGGAAGGUCUAAAAAGAAGAGAAUUAGGGGUACAGAUGAGAAUACAUCGAAGAAGAUGCACAAAUGUAAGCGUUGCGGUGAGCUCGGGCAUUAUGCAAAGACCUGCAAAAAUCCAGUAAUGGAGGAAUCUCAAGCUUCAAUAUCCUCUUCUUCUGUACCGAAGAAGCUUGGGAGGGAAUUGGUUCAAGAGGAAGAAUGUCAAUUACAGGAGACACACAUGCAGUGUAUAUAGCACCAAGAGAAAAAAGAAACAAAGGACAACCUCGCAAGCAAGAUAAGAGAAUGGAAACUUUAGUUGGAGAAGAUAAUACCUACCCACAAUCUUGAUUGGUAUAUGAUUGGAUAUACGUAUCCCAACUUUUAUACCUUAUUUACUUUCAAGUUAUUUGGAUCACUUUUAGCAUUAUUACUAAACAUAAUUUAUUAGUUGAUAUAAAGUUAAUUCUCACACUUAUUCUUUUUCAUUUUUUUUGCUAA